GAUGAACGCUGGCGGCGUGCCUAACACAUGCAAGUCGAGCGAAGCACAUAAGUUAGAAUCUUCGGAGGAAGACAUAUGUGACUGAGCGGCGGACGGGUGAGUAACGCGUGGGUAACCUGCCUUACACAGGGGGAUAACAGUUAGAAAUGACUGCUAAUACCGCAUAAGACCACAGUACUGCAUGGUACAGUGGUAAAAACUGAGGUGGUGUAAGAUGGACCCGCGUCUGAUUAGGUAGUUGGUGGGGUAACGGCCCACCAAGCCGACGAUCAGUAGCCGGCCUGAGAGGGUGGACGGCCACAUUGGGACUGAGACACGGCCCAG
rnacentral:rRNA from 1 species